UGACGGGAUCAUCAUAUCAGAGAAGCUGGCAAAGCUGCUGGAUGUGAAGGAGGGCGACACUGUGGUUCUGAAGGAGGAGGAGACAGAUCAUUUUGAGGUGAAGGUUUCCCAUAUCACGGAGAACUAUUUCCUCCAUUACAUCUACAUCUCUCCUGAGCUGUACGGCAAAGUAUUCGGGGAAACGCCGGAAUUUGUGGACUAUCUCACAAUCAAUACUUCCACGGACAGCGCAUUUGAAGACAGCAUGCAGGAGAAAUAUAUGGCCUAUGAUCAGGUAUCUGAGGUCUCAUUUAUUACAAAGACAGCGGACAGGAUCGCCAAUAUGCUGAAAAGCCUGGAUACGGUCAUCUAUGUGCUGGUCAUCGCCGCGGGUCUUCUGGCAUUUGUUGUUUUAUAUAAUCUGAAUAACAUUAAUAUCAGUGAGCGGAUCCGGGAGCUGGCUACUUUAAAAGUCCUUGGGUUUUAUGAUAUGGAGGUGUCCAGAUAUGUGCUCAGGGAGAAUGUCUGUCUGACGCUCAUUGGCUGUGUUCUGGGAAUCUUCUUCGGGAAAAUCCUGCACAUGUUUGUUAUUUUGACUGCGGAGACAGACAUUAUGAUGUUCGGAAGAGACAUAGAAAUCAUCAGUUUUGUGUAUAGUAUCCUGAUCACUUUAUUCUUUUCAGCAGUGGUAAAUUUCUUCAUGCAUUUCCGUCUGAAAAAGGUGGAUAUGGUGGAGUCCAUGAAAAGUGUAGAGUAAAAAACUUGAAAUUUUCCCGGAAAAGGUAUAUGAUUAACGGGAAAAUCGAAAUUUCAAAGGGUAUGUAAAAGGAGGAGAUUUAUUAUGCCUAUUAAGAAAUCAACGACAAAAGCAGCUGCGACAGAGGCUGUGAAGACAACGACCGAAGAGAAGAAGACAGAGGCAGCAAAAGCUGCAGAACCAGUAAAAGCUGCAAAAACACCAGAGAAAAAACAGCCUGUAAAACGUGCCGCUGCAAAGAAAGCCGUAGCUGAGAAAAAAGCCGCUGAAAAACCUGCUGCAAAAGCUGCAGAGGCAAAGAAAUUUGUCUAUGUUCAGUGCAUGGGCAAUGAAUACAAGGUUGAAGAUAUUGAAAACAGUGUAAAAAAAGCAUGGAUGGACGAGACCGGAAAAAAAGAGAGCGACAUCAAAGAAAUGCAGAUUUACAUCAAACCGGAAGAGAACGCCGCUUACUAUGUGAUCAACAAUGAAUACAAAGAAGGCGGAAACAAAGUAGAUUUAUAAGUACUUUUCGAUUGGUUUUAUGUAAAAGGAAAAGAGGGAGCUCCUUCAUCUGGAAGAAGCGCGAAUGAUGUGAGAAUCAUCAUGGCCGAAAGCCUCAGGUUUUUGGAGGAAGGUUCGUCCGCUCCAAGUUAGCCGGGAGCUAAGGUGAGGCCGAAAGGCGUAGCCGAUGCACAUACGGUAGAGAUUCCGUAGCCGCCGAAAGAUUUAAGCAGGGGGACACAUUUGAAGUGUUGGUGCCGGGUGUUGGUUUACCCGGUCGAAAGGGACUGAAAUUUAGUAGGGAAGUCCAGCAUGGAGAGUGGCGAGAAAAGCCCUGUGUAUAUCUAAGGCGCCCGUACCGCAAACCGACACAGGUAGGUAGGAAGAAGAUUCUAAGGCCAACGGGAGAAGGGUUGUUAAGGAACUCGGCAAGUUGACCCCGUAACUUCGGGAGAAGGGGUGCUCAUGAAAGUGAGCCGCAGAGAAUAGGCCCAAGCAACUGUUUAGCAAAAACACAGGUCUGUGCUAAAUCGAAAGAUGACGUAUACGGGCUGACACCUGCCCGGUGCUGGAAGGUUAAGGGGAUGUGUGCAAGCACUGAACCGAAGCCCCAGUAAACGGCGGCCGUAACUAUAACGGUCCUAAGGUAGCGAAAUUCCUUGUCAGGUAAGUUCUGACCCGCACGAAUGGUGUAAUGAUUUGGGCACUGUCUCAACAGCCCGCCCGGCGAAAUUGUAGUACCGGUGAAGAUGCCGGUUUCCCGCGACAAGACGGAAAGACCCCAUGGAGCUUUACUGCAGCCUAAUAUUGGGUUUCGAUAUUACAUGUACAGGAUAUGUGGGAGACAUGGAAGCACGGGCGUCAGCCUGUGUGGAGUCAGCCUUGGGAUACCACACUUGUGAUAUUGGAAUUCUAACCUGCGGCCCUGAAUCGGGUCGGGGGACAUUGUUAGGCGGGCAGUUUGACUGGGGCGGUCGCCUCCGAAAAAGUAACGGAGGCGUUCAAAGGUUGGCUCAGCUUGGACGGAAACCAAGCCAAAGAGUGCAAACGCAUAAGCCAGCCUAACUGCGAGACUGACGGGUCGAGCAGUAACGAAAGUUGGAGUUAGUGAUCCGGCGGUAUGUGAGUGGAAAUGCCGUCGCUCAACGGAUAAAAGUUACCCUGGGGAUAACAGGCUGAUCUCCCCCAAGAGUCCACAUCGACGGGGAGGUUUGGCACCUCGAUGUCGGCUCAUCGCAUCCUGGGGCUGUAGCAGGUCCCAAGGGUUGGGCUGUUCGCCCAUUAAAGCGGUACGCGAGCUGGGUUCAGAACGUCGUGAGACAGUUCGGUCCCUAUCUGUCGUGGGCGCAGGAUAUUUGACAGGAUCUGUCCCUAGUACGAGAGGACCGGGAUGGACGCACCUCUGGUGCACCAGUUGUCACGCCAGUGGCACAGCUGGGCAGCUAUGUGCGGAUCGGAUAAACGCUGAAAGCAUCUAAGCGUGAAGCCGGCCUGGAGAUAAGAUAUCCCACUGAGAUAAUCAGGUAAGACCCCUUGAAGACUACAAGGUUGAUAGGCUCAAAGUGUAAGCACGGUGACGUGUUCAGCUAGCGAGUACUAAUCGGUCGAGGGCUUGACCAC
rnacentral:rRNA from 1 species